UACAGAGGGUGCAAGCGUUAAUCGGAUUUACUGGGCGUAAAGGGUGCGUAGGUGGUUAUGUAAGUGAGAUGUGAAAGCCCCGGGCUUAACCUGGGAACUGCAUCUUAUACUGCGUAGCUGGAGUACAUGAGAGGGUAGUGGAAUUUCCGGUGUAGCGGUGAAAUGCGUAGAUAUCGGAAGGAACACCAGUGGCGAAGGCGGCUACCUGGCAUGAUACUGACACUGAGGCACGAGAGCGUGGGGAGCAAACAGG
rnacentral:rRNA from 1 species